AGUCGCCCGCAUCCUCUCGCACCCCGCACGCCUACCUGCAUCUCCCUGACGGCUUCGCCUCACCGGCGGCAGGCCACCCCGCCGCCCAACUAGCCUCGCCUCGCACCGGAGGCAGGCCAACCCUCCGCCCGACUCGCCUCGCCUCGCACCGGAGGCGGCCAGAGGCAGGCCAACCCUCCGCCCGACUCGCCUCGCCUCGCACCGGAGGCGGCCGGUGGCAGGUCGGAGCCCCCCCGCCACUGCCGCCAUCUACCACCACCAUCCUCGCCGCUCCCUCCCCUCGCCCAGCCAUAUCUAGACGCCUAACCAGGAGAGGAGGAGGGGGGUUGACAAGGAGAGAGCAGUCAGCAGGCGGCGGCGGCUCUGAGUACAGGUAGGCGACGGCGGCAACUGGGUAGCAGCGAGCGGCCGAUUCAUCUCGCCUUCAUCUCCUUGCUAGCUCCAUGUCCUUCGCAGGUUCUAAGAUAUGGCCUCUACUCCUCGACAGCCACACCGAGCGGCCCAUCCAAGAAACCAGCCCUGCCGCCCUACUACUCCCAACCCCCCUGAGUCUCAACCUCACCGCCUAUUCUGGUCGAUGCUGUGAUUGAUAAUAACCAGGAAGAUUUCACUGCUCAGUUCAUCCAUUUGAAUCCUUCUGCUGUAAUUCGGUUCCCUACCCUUUCUUACUUGCAGGAAAUUCAAGUGCAGUACACAUAAAGAUGAUCACAGUGGAGGAGAUCUCGACGGUCGACGUGAAGCCGGGGCGGAAGAAGGGCACGAAUAUCACCUUCCUAGAAGGAACGAUCUGAUUUUUCUGGAGGAUCCAGACAGGGAGGUGCUUCACACCCUGCGUCUAGGCAUGCACUGCAACGCCAACCACAUGGCUAAGAUGGCCGUUGCUAUCACCGAGUUCCGCGCUCUCUGCUACUUCAUUGAAUCCAGAUGCGGAAACUAAAAGGCGAGUACCAUGGGAUCAUGAAGUAUAUAAAGCAAAGGAGGAGCUGUACCAUCUCCUCUCCGGCAAGAAUUUUUUUUUCGUUGGCGAUUGAACGAAUUGAAUGCAAGAUUGCAUUGUUAGAAGGACGGAGAGUGGAACACCAGCUUCAGUUUCUCAGAUCCCACCUUCUCAACUUGAUUCCCUGUUUGCAUUCGCCAUUCUCAACAAGCACCAGGACAUGGCUUUGGUUCUGCACAAACAAUAUCUUCAGUUACAAGAAUUCUCGCCGAUAGAAUUGAUCUGGGCCGGUGUGCUCGGACGGCAAGAAUGCCUCGAUGACCACCAUGCCCAAGGCGAUGUACUUCUCUGGCGAUGGCUGUGGGUGGGUGUGGACUUGCUCCGAUUGGAUGAUGUGUGUGCGUCGUGUUGAAGUUGAAGAUGGACCAUUGUUUCAACUCUAGACGACAUGGACGGUUGAGCUUGAUCACGUUUGUCGUGAAUAGGUGGACAACAUGGCCCCGUAUGUUGAAAAAGAGAAGUGAUAGCACAAUAUAGUGCUAAAUGUGUGUAAGGAUUUGUUUAAUCGUUGCAACGCACAGGUGAUUUUUUGCUCAAUCGAGGCCGUAGUGCACAACCACUGUUGCGCAUCGGGAAAAAAUGUUUCCUAAGCCCCGGGCCGCUACGGGCGCAGGCGUCGGAGCAUCGCAUCACACAAAGAGGCAGAACCUCAUAAACGCCAUCAAGGAACUACAAUCGGAGAAAGCCACAACAUUGUCCAGGUCGACGCCAAACCAGCGACUCGAACAGACGGCGUCGAUCCAGAACAACGAGGCACACAUGGCAAGGCGUCGCCGGGGAUUCGCCACAGAAGAAAACUGUGAUCUAUGCCGGCGCAGAGCAGCGGACGAUACGGUGGUCGACGGCAGCAUUUACUAGGGAUAGUGAAAUGGGGAACAUGAAUAGAGAUAGUG